rnacentral:rRNA from 1 species
UACGGAGGGUGCAAGCGUUGUCCGGAAUCACUGGGCGUAAAGGGCGCGUAGGCGGCUCAUGAAGGCUGUGGUGAAAGUCCGGGGCUCAACCUCGGAUCGGCCGUGGCGACUCGUGGGCUGGAGCACUGUAGAGGCGGGUGGAAUUCCGGGUGUAGCGGUGGAAUGCGUAGAGAUCCGGAAGAACACCAGUGGCGAAGGCGGCCCGCUGGGCAGUGGCUGACGCUGAGGCGCGCAGCGUGGGGAG